GCCCUGGUAGCUCAGUCGGUAGAGCGUUAGGCUUUUAACCUAACGGUCUUGGGUUCGAGCCCCAACCAGGGCG